GGAAAUUAUUAAACACUGUUUUCGAAAAAGAGGGGGGUUCAAGGGUUCAAGUCAGAGCAGAACCGAACCAAAUUCGAUCAACCAUGGGCGGAAAUCGCUUUUAAAACAUGGGGGUGGGGGGACAGACAAAGACGC